GAUGAAGAACGCAGCGAAAUGCGAUAAGUAGUGUGAAUUGCAGAAUUCAGUGAAUCAUCGAAUCUUUGAACGCACAUUGCGCCCCCUGGUAUUCCGGGGGGCAUGCCUGUCCGAGCGUCAUUGCAACCUUCAAGCGCGGCUUGUGUGUUGGGUCUCGUCCCCCGUGGACGGGCCCGAAAGGCAGUGGCGGCGUCCCGACAUGGUGCCCGAGCGUAUGGGAAUCCUCUUCCGCUCGAAUCGGCCCAUGCGGCGCUGGUCGUAACCAAAUUUUUUACCGGUUGACCUCGGAUCAGGUAGGGAUACCCGCUGAACUUAAGCAUAUCAAUAAGCGGAGGA
rnacentral:misc_RNA from 1 species